AUACCACCCCAGCGGUAUCCUGGCUUCCACUCUCAUUUCUGGCUGCAGACAUUUAGAUGUUUAGCUCCUCUUUCUUAGCUAAAAUUCCAGUUGGCUGCUGAGCUCCAUUUUGUGUGCAGAACAGCUUUGUCCCUCGAGUACUGAUGGUGAUGCAGGCAGUUAAAAAAGCAAUUCCUGCUUUAGGGAGUGAUCUUUGCUAGAGGAAACGAGUACUGUCACAAAAACUUAAACCACAUCUGGCUCCUGAUUGUCAGAAUAUGUAAUUCAGGCACCUGCGGGACCUGUGUGUGAACCUGAGGUUGGCUGUAAUGCCUUACUUUGCCAGUAAAAUGUGUGGACAGGUCCAUAUGUCCAUUGGGUCCAUAUGUCCGGUGUUCUUUGCUCCUUUGGCUAAAAGCUAGGGAAAUUGUGGUUAUUAAACUGAAACCUUUUGUGGGAAAAAGUUGCUUCCAUGUUGAAGAAUACUGAGGAAAAUAUUAUUGUUUCUUAAAUCUGCAGAGGUAAAAAACCUUACCUGAAAAGGGAGGGACUCCAUUUCCAAUUAACAGUAUGCAUUAACUGGAAGAAAGAGAGUGUUGGAAAGACUUGUUACAAAUCGCUUAGUCUUCAUGGUCUCUUGUUUGUUUUCUGUCUAUAAGAUGCAUUGUAAAGCAGAAGGAGAGGAAAACAUAACUUGUAGCCUGUACUGACAGGACAGAGAAAUUUCAUGUUCUGUGAAGAAUAAAUCCCAAGUGUCAUUCAUUUGACUUAAAAAUUGAAUUUUUCCAUUUAAAUACUAGACUUUAUAGGUAGAGGAGUAGCACAAUAUUACAGCUCUGACUUCCUCAGUGAUGCAGCUUAUCUUUUCCUGCAGUUAUCUGCAAAAGACAAGAAAAUCCUUCUUUAGGAGGACUAAAAGACUGAUUAGCUGUUCAAAGACAGUGAAGGGUGGCCUUGCAAUGGCACCUGCCAGGUCUCUCAGCAGUCACAAAGGAAUCCUGUCUCAUCCUGUGAAUUGUGCAUGUCCAGCUUAUCUAAGGAGUCCCUUUUUGGAUCCAUUGAUGCUGCAACAACAACCAACGCAAUCCCUGGAAAAGUUGUGGAGGGCCUCAUUUUGGAGGCCAUCUCUAGUCACAUGGAUGACAAGAAGGUGAUCAGGAGUAGUCAGCAUGGAUUCACUAAAGGCAGAUCAUUUGACCAUCCUGAUUGCCUUUGAGUGAGGCUUUCAACAAGGUCUCCCAGGAUAUCCUCAUAGACAAAGUCAGGAAUUGUGGACUGGAUAGCUGGACAGUGAGGUGGCUGGAGGCCUGUCUGAACAGCAGAUCCCAGAGGGUUGUAAUCGGUGGCACAGGGUCUAGUGUGAGGCCUGUCACCAGUGGUGUCCCCAAGUAUUGUUUCACGAGUUCAUCAGUGACUUGGAUGCAGGAGCAGAUGCCUCCUCAGCAAGUUCACCAACAACACAAAGCUGGGAGGAGCAGUACCCCCAGUGAGCUGUGCAGCCCUUCAGAAGGAGCUCGACAGGCUGCAGAGAUGGGCAGAGAGAGGGGAACUGUCUGAAAUUCAACAAGGGCUGAUGCAGGGUCCUCACGUGGGGAGAAAUAACCCCAGGCACCAGUACAGGCUGGGGGCCCACGUGCUGAGGAGCAGCUCUGUGGAGAAGGACCGGGGAUCCUGGUGGACAACAAACUGUCCAUGAGCCAGCAGUGUGUCCUUGUGGCCAAGAAGGCCAAUGGAAUCCUGGGCCCAUUAGGAAGGGCACUGCCAGCUGGUCAAGGGAGGGGAUCCUGCCCCUCUGCCCAGCCCUGGUGAGGCACAUCUGGAAUGCUGUGUCCAUUUCUGGGCUCCUCAGAAAAACAAAGGUGAUUGAGGGACUGGAGCAUCUCUCUAAUGAGGAAAGGCUGAGGGAGCUAGGACUGUUCAGUCUGGAGAAGAAACAACUGAGAGGGGACCUCAUCCAUGUCUAUGGGUAUCUAAAGGAGGGUGCCAAGAGUAUGGAUCCAGGCUCUGCUCAGUGGUGCUGAGCAGUAGCACAGGAGAAUGGCAGAAACUGAUGCACAGGAAGUUCCACCUGAAUAUGAGGAAGAGCUGCUUUACUGUGUGGAUGACUGAGCACUGGAACAGAUUGUUCAGAGAGGUUGUGGAGUCUCUGGAUGCAAUUCUGUGCUCUAGGGUGACCCUGCUUGAGUAGGGAGCUUGGACCAGAUGACCCACUGUGGUUCCUUCCAACCUGACCCAUUCCUGGGAUUCUGUAAGGGAAGCAGCACUUCCUUUCUCAGAAAUAAAGGGGAAAAGGGUAAGACUUUAUACAGAAGAAUUUUUUGUCCUCUCAUGACAUCACACUUCCCUCAGGAGCCCUUUCUCAGUCUCUCUGCAUUCUUGUGUGCCGUGCAGGUAUAUACAUCCUGUUCUGCUGCAGCAAAGGAAGAGGAGUUACUCACUGCUGAAUUUGCCAAGGAAAUGUUACAGAGCUGUUAUUUCAGUGUGUAUCACGUAUGCUUCCAUGACUGGCACAUUGCUGACAUACUGCUGUGUCAGUCAUGAAGACUAACACCUGGCAUUUCCAUCCCAUGGUAUAUGCAAGAGGAAUAAACAUUCAGUGGGACGGACUCACCACCUUCCCCAUGAGCUACAGCAGUGUAGGAAUGUGCACAGAGGCAAUUUUUAUAAAACAGCUGACGUGCUGCAAGUUUACAUCCUACAGUUUGCAUCCUGCGGUUUCCUAUUCAUCUGCUCAAAUCAAAAUGCCGAGUCUUGCAAUCCAUCCUUAGAAUAGGGCAAGCUGAGUAAUCAUACAGCUGCUUGCUCAGAGGUGGCUGAGUAGAAGAACUUGCACACGAAGAAUAUAAGCUUGCCUCCACAGCUGUGAAGUUCAAUAAAUUUAGCAGACUGCAAACUACUUAUGAAUUCAAUUUGUUAGCAAGGACACUUUUUUUUUUUUACUAUUGAAGGCUUUCAUAUUUUCCCACAUGAUCACAAUUUCUUAAAGAGGGGUUGAGGUAAGAAAUAAUGUAUGUUAUCAACUCUUUAUAUUGAAUUUGGCAGAUGCUAUGAAAUAAGGAAUUUUAUAAAUAAGAUGAUAUUAGUUUACUGUACCAAUAGAAUGUUUAAUCAGAGUCAUUGUAUGCCACACACAUUAAAAAAAUUUCAAACAAGUACAGAAAUUCAAAGGCAUUAAUAACGGGUUGGUCUGCCAAAGUCUGCCAUAAUCAGCCUGAAUUUGUGUCAAAAUUGUCUUCCAUAAAAAUGAGGGAAAAAAUGGAAGAGCUAAAUUAAGAUAUAAGGCCAAAGAAUAUAUUCAAAUUCAAAUUUACCUUGCUUUCACUGAUGGAGAAUGGAUCAGUUCUACAAAAAUAGUAAAUUAUGUAUUACUUAAAAUUAUCAUUAAAAAGAUUGCUGUUGAGUAAUUUAAAUCAGUCUGCUUGUAUAAGAUGUAUAUACAGUGUCUAAAAUAAUGUUCUUAACAUACUGGCUUUGGUUGUUUUCACUGCAUCAAUAUUUUAAUACUUAAAGAGGGACCCUUAUUUGCUGAUGUUUCUCAUUUUUAAACAUACUCUAGGCAUUUUUCAUAGCUUUUUUCUAGCAUAGAUUCUCUCUUACCAAAAAUGUCUACUAUUUAAAGAAAACAUGACUUCUGAAAAUGUUGCCUUAUUCAAAGUUAUCAGAUUAAAAUGUUCCGUUUUCAAGGAAGUUUAUCUGUUGUGUCAGGGUGCACAAUGCAGACCUUGUGCCCUGUGUAAGGAGAAGACUCAUUUCUCAAACACAGGAGACACAUCCCUCUCUGUAACACCAUGGAGCAAAGUGCUGCUUGUAUUAAAAUGAAAGCUUCAAAGUUUUCUGCAGCCUUACUGCAGCUGGAAUGAACAAGGUCCAAGGGUGAGGGAAAGGCAGGGAAACUGCUGUAUCUUGGAUGUCAGAAAUACAAUAGAAUUAGGUUUGCAUUAAAUCAAAGUGUUAAAUUAAAUUUUAAUUUAAAUAAAUAAAAUUUAAUUUAAAUAAAAAAUGUUAAAUCUGAUUAAGUCAAUGCUCAAUCAUCCACUGCCUUUAAAAGAGGUCAAGAAUUCAUCCAUCAGUUAAAGUGGAAAAAAGAAGUUGUAGACAGUGAUCAGAGUUUAAAAUGUGGAAACAUGUUUUAAUCACCCCUCCAGUACAAUUUUAAAGAACUAUGGCAGAGCUCAGGGGUGAUCAGCAGAGUAGAAUCCAGUUGGAGGUCUGUAGUCACUGGCAUUCUCCAGGGAAUACUGGGCCCAUCCUUAUCCAACUUGUUUAUCCGUGGCACAGGAGGCCCCUCAGCCAUUUGCUGUGACACUGAACUGGGGGAGUGGCCGAUCACCUGAAGGCUCUGCUGCCAUUCCGUGGGACCCUGAGAGGCUGGAGAAUUGGGCAGAGAGCAGCACAAUGGGGCACGUGCAGGGUCCUGCACGUGAGGAGGAAAACCCCAGGUGCCAGCACAGACUGGGCACUGACCUACUGGAGAGAGCUCUGUGGAGAAGGACCUGGGGUUCCUGGUGGAUGACAAGUUGUCCAUGAGCCAGCAGUGCCCUUAUGGCCAGGAGGGGCAAUGGUGUCCUGGGGAGCAUCGGGAAGAGUGGCCAGCAGGUUGGAGGAGAUGAUUCAGCCCUGGUGAGGACACCUCUGGAAUACUGUGUCCAGUUCUGGGCUCCUCAACACAAGAAACAAAAGGAGAUAUUGGAGAGGGUCCAAUGGAUGCCACAAAGAGGAUGAGGAGUUUGGAGCAUCUCUUAUGAGGAGAGACUGCAGGAGCUGAGCCUGUUCAGUCUAGAGAACACUGAGAGCGAAUCUCAUUAAUGCAUUUAAACCUCUCAAAGGAGGGUGCCAAGAGGGUGGUGCCUGACUCUUUUCAGUGGUGCCCAGCAACAGGAUGAGGAGCCAUAAACUACAACACAAGAAGUUCCACCUCAACAUAAAGAACUUCUUUCCAUUGAAGGUGGCAGGCUGGAACAGGCUGCUCAGGAAGGUUGUGGGGUCUCCCUUCCUGGAGACUUUCAAAUCCACCUGGAUAAGUUCCCGUGUAACCUAAUCUUGGUGACCCUACCCUGGCAGGGAGCUUGUCUUGGAUGAUCUCCAGAGGUCCCUUCCAACCCUAAGGAUUCUAUGAUCCUGUAACUACAGAUUAUCUUCAAAUUUGCUGAAAAACACCUCUAUGACUACAAAACUAAAUUUGUAGUUAUCAAUCAAACACAUAAAAGUUUUAAUUACUGUAUCUGAAGUGGAAGAACUAAAAGUUGAUCUUUAUUUCUUCUAGGAUGGGAGAUUGAUGCUAUUAAGGCUGUUUGUGGCUUCUUGUCAAUCGUGCUUUGUUUAAAUUUGGUAACUGUGCUCAGUGGAUUCCUUCCAGCAAAACAAAAUUUAAAAGAGCAAUUAAGUGCUCAUUUCUACAGUAGUAUCUGGGAAAUGUAGGAAGACAUUCUCGGAAAAUACUAACACUAAUCAAACAGUGAAAGAUUAAUCAAAUGAAUGAAAGAUUAUGCUGGAGUUGACAGAAAAAAAUCCAAGUAAGAAGCUUACUAUCCUACUGUACAAAUAAACAGAGCAGUUACAUAGCUUUGAGGGCAAACACAUGAUGUUUUAGAUUCACAGGAAUUAUCAGAAGGGUUCAAAACUUAUGAGAAAUAAAUGUACUGCUAUUUAUUUCUACUAUGUUUAGAGGAACAGGAAUUUGUAUACAUAUUUUGUAAGCAAAAGUAUUCAAUUAAAAUACUCCUGACUAGCAUUACAGAUGUUUUACUCCUCACAAAGUAAAGCAAGCCAAAUACUAGCAAAGCCAAUGGACGAUAGGAGCAGAAUACAAGCUACUGUUUUCACCUAAAAGCUAAUGGGUUUAUUCAGAAAGUCUACAGAGCUUUUUUCAGUAGUCUCACAACCAUUAGACUUUUCCUUUCUUUUUUCCUAAUGCUUCCAAGUACAAGGUGAUCAUAACUCUGGUAGGGCUUCCUAGACUGACAAGCACCGUUGUUCCUGUCAGGUCUUGCUGUGCUGAAAUAUGUGCUCCUAUGCUUCACUACUCAUUUUUCCUGGCUUCUCUAGCACACUUCAAGAGCAUUCUCUCUGCCUCCACACCAGUGGCACCCUCUCUUCAGUUACUUUUAAUUCCUACUUCUUUGAGCAGAUGUUUUUUAGCUGCAACUUUAUUCUCUGGAGUUUGUCUCUUCUUUGUAAUCUGUUGCUCAUGAGCUGCCUUCUGCAAUUCUGUCUUGAAACGCCGAUUUACCUCAGGCAAUGGGUAGCUGUGGAUUUGUUCAGUGCUACAUCUGGGUUUACAUGUUAAUAUCCUUCAUUUUUAGACAUGUUCUAAAUACAGAAAUUGCUUAUGGAUUUUAAUUCAAAAUGCAAACAAAGGAGUUCUCAAUUUGACCUGAAUAUAGAUAUAUAUUAUCUGAAAAUCAUAGAUUUCCAACGGAUAGAUUUUUAUUUUAUUUACAUCAGAUAAUUAAAUACUAUAUGUUAUUUUCUACAGAAAAUGAUACUAUUACAUGUUUAUAAAAAAUAUUUACACAGAAAAAUACUUUACCUGUCUGUUUGUUAAGCUGCCAUCACUUACCACAUGAAAAAAUUAGAAUGAUCAGGAGUACCUUUUGCUUUGAUACACUGUUCUUCCUAGCCCUAUCAGUUUAUGUUUUACUUGUAUCAAUAUAUGCAUCUGCUUGUAGCAAUAUAUACAUCUAUAUUAUUACUUGUAAAAAAAGCUUUGAUUCAUGGAUAGUCCCGUUGUGUUCACUGAGACUAUUUACAAACACAUGACUGGAAACUCAGAGAGAGUUAGCAAACACAAAUGGGCAUCAAUUAGUUUUGAUGUUCAUGAAUUAAGUUUCAGCAAUCUCCUCU